rnacentral:rRNA from 1 species
GGAUAAUCUACCCGACAGUCAGGGAUAACAUUUCGAAAGGAAUGCUAAUACCUGAUAAGCCUACGCCCUCUUCGGAGGAAGUAGGAAAAGGUGGGGACCUUCGGGCCUGCCGUUGUUGGAUGAGUCCGCGGCCCAUUAGCUAGUUGGUAGGGUAAUGGCCUACCAAGGCUACGAUGGGUAGCUGGUCUGAGAGGAUGAUCAGCCACACUGGAACUGAGACACGGUCCAG